UUGUAGUAAAUCAAUAAGCCUCAACAAUAGGUAGGUUCUGUAAUUAUCUCCACUUUUCAGAGGGGAACCCUGACACCAAAGAGGAGAAGUGAGUUGUCCAAGGUCACAAAGAACCUUGAGACAGUGAGAAAGCCAGGACCCACACGUGGGCGGCCAGCUGCAAGCUCAUGCUGUGCCCUCACCAGCUCCCAGAACAUGCAUGGGGAGCCUAGCCUUGCUGCUUACCUUUGAUGUUGAUCUGCACUCCCUUGGACACGCUCAGCCCUUUGUCAUUGUGGGCCUCACAACUGAAGACCGCCAUCUCCGUCAGGCCUGGAAUGGAAGGAGACUCAUGAGACCAGCAGCAGAGAAACAGGCUGCUGUUCACUACAAUUCUAUGGUUGUCUUUGCAUUAUUUUACUUCUUGGUUCAUGGCUUUUGGGCAUUAGUGCAAAGUUAAUUUAAAAGGUGUGCUAGCUAUGGAGAAACAAAC
rnacentral:lncRNA from 1 species